GAUGUCGAGAUACCUGGAGAUGUAGAGUUUCAAUAUGAAAUCAUCUGUCCGUCUUCGAGUUCUUGCCGCCAUCAUCUCCCAACUUCUCUAUUUCUGAUUACUCAAACUUUGGGGAUCAAAGCAAUAUUUGCUUUAAGCUGUUUCGUAAUGUCAAAUACAAAACCAGAAGCCAGUGGCGUGGCUAGUAUUCUCACAUUUGUACCUCUGUUACGCUUACUUUAAAUUGUUUAUUCUAAAGGCCCGACUUUGUUUUUUUUUUUUAGCUACAGCCCACACCCCUUGUAAAGGAUGCUGGGAAUUUAGCCCUUUUAAUGCAAAUUAAUUGCAAUUGCAAAAAAUAAAACAAUAAAAAAAGACUAGACUUGACUGACAAGCAGUAGAAAUUCGCUGA
rnacentral:misc_RNA from 1 species